rnacentral:rRNA from 1 species
UACGAAGGGGGCUAGCGUUGUUCGGAUUUACUGGGCGUAAAGCGCACGUAGGCGGGUUGUUAAGUCAGGGGUGAAAUCCUGGAGCUCAACUCCAGAACUGCCUUUGAUACUGGCAACCUAGAGGCUGGAAGAGGUUAGUGGAAUUCCCAGCGUAGAGGUGAAAUUCGUAGAUAUUGGGAAGAACACCAGUGGCGAAGGCGGCUAACUGGUCCAGAUCUGACGCUGAGGUGCGAAAGCGUGGGGAGCAAACAGG